AAACAAGUUUAUGUUAAAAAGAAGGUCAAGCUUAACUCAAUAUAUAACCCUGCAAAAAUGCAAAUUACGUUUGUUUUAGCGUAUAAUAUUUAUAGCCAGAAAAAUAAACAAAAGUUUGCUUAGUGUCUAACGAAUCCAAUUCUAUUUCUAUCAACGGUUGUAAUAGACAACAAAAAAAAAAAAUAAAAACAAGGGUCACAAUUUAUUUUGAAGAGCAGUAAAAUUCCAACGGUAAAAAAAUUUGAAUUUGAAAUGCUAACGAUAAAAUAAUUUGAAUUUAAACACUUUGAUUCCCUUAGGUAUAUAAACUUUUGGGAAAAAAAAAAAUCUACUAUGCCUAUCCUUUUCAAUUUAUUCAGAUCGUCUCCUCCAUCGCAUGGAGAUGAAUUUGUUCACCUGUUUUACUUUCCCUAAGAAACCCCAUUUAGUUCGUUGUUGAUUCAGUUUCAAUGCGUCAAUAAGACGAAAAACAACAAGAAGAAGAUGCGGUCAGUAGCUCUGAUUUCUGGGACUGGAUUUAACUUCAGGGUUGUUUCUCAUACACGUCAGUGAUCACUUUUACUCUGGGGAGGAAAGAUUACAAGCGAAGUGAGUCUUAAAAUUUUUCUCACCAAUUGUGUUAUGGGCCAAAUUUACUUCAAGGCAGUACAAGUCUGAUGUCUUUUUUUUUUUUUCUGCAUUCAUGGAUUAUUGCAAGGAAUCAAUGAUUUUCUGGACUACUUUCUCGAGUAUUGCUGGGAUGAUGGGACCAUAAAUGAGAGACACAGUGUAACUGGAAAAUCUUUCAAAAGUCAGCCUUGGGAUACAAGAGUAGAAUUCACUGGUAUUGUAAAAUGCAAUGUAGCAUAACAUAAUCUGCUUCUGAUCCCUACCUUAUUGACCGCAACUCUGUAUUUAUUAUGGCUUUCGUUGCUACCCCUCCAGUAGAUAUUGAUGGUAUUCAUGAACAUGUUUCUGGAUCUCAGUGGUGGUCCCGCUUAUGGGGUCAAAUAUAUACAUUCUAAAAAGAAAUAUUUGAAUAUCAAUCUCAUCGAUAUCAUCGACUUUUGGGGCAGAAUAGCAGUGAAAGUACAAGCAUUAGUAGCAUAGCCAAAAUGCAUUCCUCGUCGUUAGUAUGUUUGCUCGUGGUAAUUGUGGCCUCCUGGGCAAAUCGACGACUGUAUCUUUGAUGCACUUGCUAGUGCAUCUGAGAAUUCUUAGGCUUGCAAAUGAUUUAAAGGGAGUACAAAUAUAAACUUCUUUGCUUAAAAUUGAUCUCUAUUAAUUGCAUUUCUCUUCUGUUGCUAAAUUGUGCAUAAUACUGUUCUCACCUUGUUUUUGACAUAUAAAGUGGCAAGUAGGAUUUAUCUUUAUAUUGUCUUUUCCUCCUAUUUGAAUCUGACAUUACAUAUAUGUAUAUAUAUAUUUUUUUUUCCUUUUCAAUUGCAGGCUGGGGAUGAUACAAUACAGUUGUCUUACAAUUACAUCAAUGACUUUGAGACUAAAAAUCAACCUCCUCAAAAGCUUUACACACUUUGUGGUUUUAGUUUGUAGCAAGCUGAGGAUGCUCUUAUCCAGUUGAUUCAUAACCUUGUCAACCUUGCACGCUUUGCAAUUAUAGUUUCUUGACUGUAUUUAGAGGAGAUCAAUCAUUAGAACUAUCUUGAUGGUGUCAUUGAGAAGAUUAGAGGGACAAGAGAGCAGUGUAUGCAAAUAGCCAUAUUCAAACUUGAGCAAGGGGUCCAGAUAGAAGAUAGAAGGUUAUCAUUGGUAAUCAUUAUUAUUUGAACUGCUCAUGAGGACACAAAUUCAUAAUUGAAAACAUUUCUCCUA